rnacentral:lncRNA from 10 species
AGUGGCCUACGCAUCGCCAGUCCUGACAACAGCCUAGCAACAACUGGCUAGAGGCUAUGCCCACCUAGACCCCUUUGAGGUCAUGGGAUCACGGAGCCAGAAAUGCCUGUAGAGCAAUCUAGAUUUGAGGGGGAUGACAUUUGAACUGCGAUCUGAAGGGACAAGAGGAAGGUAGCCCUGAAAGGAACAUAGCGAAAAGCAUCCCUGGUAGAAGGAAAAUAAGCAAAGAUUGUGAGGCCGAAAUGAAGAGUAACAUCAAGGGAACUUGGUUUAUGAUACAGACGGCAUUACAAGUCAGUGGGCGAAAGGACAGACUCUUCAAUAAAUGGCGAUGAGACAUUUUUUCCAAAAGGGAAAUAAAUGAUUAGAUUUCUACCUCAAACCAUUUCCAAAAAUAAGGCCGAGAUGGAUUAAAGACCUGCAAACAUUUUUCAGAAAAUAAAAAUAGCUUUAUAAUGUCAAAAAUAGGGAAGAAUUUUUUUUUUUUUUUUUAGACGGAGUCUCACCCUUGUUGCCCAGGCUGGAGUGCAACAGUGCUAUCUCAGCUCACCGCAACCUC